rnacentral:lncRNA from 1 species
GGGCCUGAAAAAGGCCGAGACAGGAACUGAGAAGCUGGCAGUAGGUCCUGCUACUGCUGCAGGGGCGGCGGGCGCCCUGGGUGGGCCACGAGGCAGGGACAACCGAGGCUCCGCGCCCACCCCACCCGCAAGGGGCCAAGCGCAGACCCAGGGGAGCCAGAGGGGCCGGACCGCUGAGCAAGGGCUGGGGAAGGAUCCCACGCUUGGAUACUUGGGAGUGAAGAUGUGUUAUUUCACCCACCGACUCGUUCCACACGACCAAGGCCUGUGCCUGCCCUGAGGGCGAGUUGGUUGAGCUCUGAGACAACUCUCAGAGCGUGGGCCUGGGCCGAACCUUUCCCUGUGAGCAGCAGCAUCAGCGUCUAGAACGACGGCCCUCCCGGUCCACGGUGGAAGGUGCGGAGCUCCCGUGGUGUGCUGGCAGCCAUUCGCAGAAGGGAGAUGGAGGGGCACAGGGCAGGUGCUCGCACGGAGUCGUCGAUCUCCAGGGACACCUUCCUCCCAGGAACGUGUGUACAGUGAUCACUUGCUGCCAUAACACAGUCACAGAUCUACGUGUGUUCUCUGACUCUCAGCUGGGGCUCCAUCGGGGCCUGCUCUGGGCUCACCUGCGUGACCACUGGGCUCAGCUUCCUCGUCUGAGAAGCAUCAGGACUGGCCUUCCCACCCCCGCGUUCCCAGGGCUUCCACACUCCUUUCUGGCCAUGAGUCAGUCCUCAGUGGAUGACCAGUGGCCUGGGGUGGCCCUCUGAUUCUCUCACCUGUACUCAGGGGGCUGAACCUCACUCUUCUCUGCCAAAACCAACCAAUGAAUAAAUAAACAAACAAGCAUGGAAUUCCUAAAAAUGCAGGAUGCGCUUGCCGGCUGGCGAUACUCACAGUGGAGGCAGGAAGGGCAGCAUUCGCCUUCCACAAAGGACGGACUGGCGCAGGUUGCAGGCGGGCAGGUGAUUUGGUGGCA